CCUUCGAUAGCUCAGUUGGUAGAGCGGAGGACUGUAGCUAACUUCCUUGUGAGAAGACAUCCUUAGGUCGCUGGUUCGACUCCGGCUCGAAGGA
rnacentral:tRNA from 1 species